AAAAAGAUAAGCUAAAAUUAAGCUUAUGGGUUCAUACCCCAUUAAUGAAUAUAAUUCUCUUUUUA
rnacentral:tRNA from 1 species